ACUGCUGAUCAAAAACAAACUUACAUUUAUUGCCAAAGACGUUUUUGAUGAGACUCCCAGCCUGAAAUCAUUGUUUCUUCACAGUAAUGCAAUUACAAACAUUGAAAAGGAGACUUUUGACAGACUCGACCUGAGCCAGUUAACCAUCUUUGAUAAUCCUUUAAACUCAUUACCAGACGGAAUAUUCGACGGAAUGGCAAAUGGAACCCAAGUG